GCAUGCGUGCCAUAUAGUUAGUCAGCAUAGUUGCCUUCCAAGCAGUUGAUCCGGGUUCGAUUCCCGGCCGACGCA
rnacentral:tRNA from 1 species